UGUCCGGUGCGCCCCCGGCGGCC
rnacentral:snRNA from 1 species